rnacentral:tRNA from 1 species
UUUUAUAUAGUUUAAAGAAAACAUUAUACUUUCACUAUAAAAAUAGAAUUUCUAUUUUCUUAUAAAAA